GACGAACGCUGGCGGCGUGCUUAACACAUGCAAGUCGAACGGACAGACAGAGAGCUUGCUCUCUUGAAGUUAGUGGCGAACGGGUGAGUACGCGUAAUCAACCUGCCCUUCAGAGGGGGAUAACAACGGGAAACCGUUGCUAAUACCGCGUACGAUUCAUGAACGGCAUCGUUUAUGAAUGAAAGGUGGCCUCUAUGUAUAAGCUAUCGCUGAAGGAGGGGAUUGCGUCUGAUUAGCUAGUUGGAGGGGUAACGGCCCACCAAGGGAAUGAUCAGGAGCCGGUCUGAGAGGAUGAACGGCCACAUUGGGACUGAGACACGGCCCAAACUCCUACGGGAGGCAGCAGUGGGGAAUCUUCCGCAAUGGACGAAAGUCUGACGGAGCAACGCCGCGUGAGUGAUGAAGGUCUUCGGAUUGUAAAGCUCUGUUAAUCGGGACGAAAGAGUUCUGCGUGAAUAAUGCAGAAAAGUGACGGUACCGGAAUAGAAAGCCACGGCUAACUACGCGCCAGCCGCCGCAGUAA
rnacentral:rRNA from 1 species